AGUGAACGCUGGCGGCAUGCUCAACACAUGCAAGUCGCACGGGCAGCAAUGUCAGUGGCGGACGGGUGAGUAACGCGUAGGGAAGUGUCCAGAGGUGGGGGACAACCCCGGGAAACUGGGGCUAAUACCGCAUAUGGCCUGAGGGCCAAAGCAGUGAUGCGCCUUUGGAGUUACCUGCGUCCGAUUAGCUAGUUGGUGGGGUAAAGGCCUACCAAGGCGACGAUCGGUAGCUGGUCUGAGAGGACGACCAGCCACACUGGGACUGAGACACGGCCCAGACUCCUACGGGAGGCAGCAGUGGGGAAUCUUAGACAAUGGGGGAAACCCUGAUCUAGCCAUGCCGCGUGAGCGAUGAAGGCCUUAGGGUUGUAGAGCUCUUUCAGUGGGGAAGAUAAUGACGGUACCCACAGAAGAAGCCCCGGCUAACUCCGUGCCAGCCGCCGCGGUAAUAC
rnacentral:rRNA from 1 species